rnacentral:rRNA from 1 species
GAUCAUAGCUCAGGAUGAACGCUAGCUACAGGCUUAACACAUGCAAGUCGAGGGGCAGCAUGUCGGUUGCUUGCAACCGAUGAUGGCGACCGGCGCACGGGUGAGUAACGCGUAUCCAACCUACCCCUUGUCCAUCGGAUAACCCGUCGAAAGGCGGCCUAACACGAUAUGCGGUUCUCAGCAGGCAUCUAACGAGAACGAAAUGUGAAGGAGAAGGAUGGGGAUGCGU